rnacentral:rRNA from 1 species
CAACCUGCCUUUGAGAUGGGGACAACAGUUCGAAAGGACUGCUAAUACCGAAUGUUGUGUAUUUCCCACAUGGGAGAUACAUUAAAGAUGGCCUCUAUUUAUAAGCUAUCGCUCAAGGAUGGGUCUGCGUCUGAUUAGCUAGUUGGUGGGGUAAUGGCCUACCAAGGCAACGAUCAGUAGCCGGUCUGAGAGGACGAACGGCCACAUUGGAACUGAGACACGGUCCAGACUCCUACGGGAGGCAGCAGUGGGGAAUCUUCCGCAAUGGGCGAAAGCCUGACGGAGCAACGCCGCGUGAGUGAAGACGGCCUUCGGGUUGUAAAGCUCUGUUAUAUGGGACGAACGUAUCUAUGGCCAAUACCCAUAGAUAGUGACGGUACCGUAAGAGAAAGCCACGGCUAACUACGUGCCAGCAGCCGCGGUAAUACGUAGGUGGCAAGCGUUGUCCGGAAUUAUUGGGCGUAAAGGGCGCGCAGGCGGCCUGUCAAGUCUGUCUUAAAAGUGCGGGGCUCAACCCCGUGAUGGGACGGAAACUGGCAGGCUGGAGUGUCGGAGAGGAAAGCAGAAUUCCUAGUGUAGCGGUGAAAUGCGUAGAUAUUAGGAGGAAUACCAGUGGCGAAAGCGGCUUUCUGGACGACAACUGACGCUGAGGCGCGAAAGCCAGGGGAGCAAACGGGAUUAGAUACCCCGGUAGUCCUGGCCGUAAACGAUGGGUACUAGGUGUAGGAGGUAUCGACCCCUUCUGUGCCGGAGUUAACGCAAUAAGUAUCCCGCCUGGGGAGUACGGCCGCAAGGCUGAAACUCAAAGGAAUUGACGGA